CAUCCUCCAAACUGAAAUACAAAUGAAAACUAAAAUAUGCAUCCAAAAGAAAAUGUGUUGGUUUGAAUGAGAAUGGCCCUUAGGGGCUCAUAGGCUUGUACAUUUGAAUGUUCAGUUUCCAAUUGAAGAAUCUGUUUAGAAAGAACUAGAAGAUGUAGCCUUACUGGAAAUGUGUUAGGGGGUUAGGUUUUGAGGUUUCAAAAGAUGACACUAUUCCCAGUCAGCAGUUCUCUAUGUCUCUCUCUGUCUCUCUGUCUGUCUGUCUCUUUGUCUCUGUCUAUCUGUCUGUCUGUCUGUUUCUCGGUGUCUGGCUCUACAUCUCUGUCUCUCUCUCUCUCUCUCUGUGUCUCUCUCUGUCUCUGCCUCACUCCUGUGGAACAGAUCUCAUCUAUUGAUCCUGGACAAUGUCUACCUGCCUGCUUCUAUGCUGCCACCAAGAUGGUCAUGGACUCACUGAAACGAUAGGAGAGAAGAAGAAGAAGAAGAAGAAGAAGAAGAAGAAGAAGAAGAAGAAGAAGAAGAAGA
rnacentral:lncRNA from 1 species